GAUGAACGCUGACAGAAUGCUUAACACAUGCGAGUCAACUUGAAUUUGGGUUUUUACCUUAGGUUUGGGUGGCGGACGGGUGAGUAACGCGUAAAGAACUUGCCUCACAGCUAGGGACAACAUUUGGAAACGAAUGCUAAUACCUAAUAUUAUGAUAAUAGGGCAUCCUAUAAUUAUGAAAGCUAUAAGCGCUGUGAGAGAGCUUUGCGUCCCAUUAGCUAGUUGGAGAGGUAACGGCUCACCAAGGCGAUGAUGGGUAGCCGGCCUGAGAGGGUGAUCGGCCACAAGGGGACUGAGACACGGCCCUUACUCCUACGGGAGGCAGCAGUGGGGAAUAUUGGACAAUGGACCAAGAGUCUGAUCCAGCAAUUCUGUGUGCACGAUGAAGUUUUUCGGAAUGUAAAGUGCUUUCAGUUGGGAAGAAAGAAAUGACGGUACCAACAGAAGAAGUGACGGCUAAAUACGUG
rnacentral:rRNA from 1 species